GACGAACGCUGGCGGCGUGCUUAACACAUGCAAGUCGAGCGGAAAGGCCUCUUCGGGGGUACUCGAGCGGCGAACGGGUGAGUAACACGUGAGUAAUCUGCCCUUCACUCUGGGAUAGCCACCGGAAACGGUGAUUAAUACCGGAUACGACACGUCCAGGCAUCUGGUGCGUGUGGAAACUUUUUGGGUGGGGGAUGUGCUCGCGGCCUAUCAGCUUGUUGGUGGGGUAAUGGCCUACCAAGGCUUCGACGGGUAGCCGGCCUGAGAGGGUGACCGGCCACAAUGGGACUGAGACACGGCCCAGACUCCUACGGGAGGCAGCAGUGGGGAAUAUUGGACAAUGGGCGGAAGCCUGAUCCAGCAACGCCGCGUGAGGGAUGACGGCCUUCGGGUUGUAAACCUCUUUCAGCACCGACGAAGCGAUCCUUUGGGGAGUGACGGUAGGUGCAGAAGAAGGACCGGCCAACUACGUGCCAGCCGCCGCCGUAACAC
rnacentral:rRNA from 1 species